ACCCACUGAGUCAUCUCAGUGACCCCUGAAUGUAUGCAUUUUUAAUGAUGUAAGUGACAUAGUCCAAUUUCUUAUUAUCAAGUGUAUUUUACACGUAUGUUUAGACUUACAUGUACAAACAUGCUUAUUUAGAAACACUGCCUCAGUUUCCACUUGUUAUUCAGACCCUCUAUUACUCUAGCUCCUUGUAUGUAUGCUGUUAAGGGACCAAAUGCAGGGUCUCUUAUGUGCCAGGCAAAUACUCUGCCACAAGUGAGUCCCCAAUCUUUCCAGCUUCCUUUUAAAUGACCUAGCACAGUCUUCCAGACCACAUCUUCAUACUUCUGCCCACAGUCUUUGAGAUGUAGCACUUUUGGGGGGCUGUGCAUUGUGGCAGCAAGAAGGGUUGUCUCAGCCCUCACAAGCCACGCUCUCUUUGGGAUUUCCACAGUGGCAUCUUCCUGCACUGCUUUUGAAAGGGACCUUUGUGGGGUGUGGCUGCCCCAGGAAAUGCUCCCUUGUGUUAAGGUUGUAUGGACAAGUGUGAAGGCAUAAAAUGGCAUGGGACCUGGUGAGUUCUUUUCUUGUUGCUGCAAAAGAAGGUCCUGAUCGAAGAAAGAAACCAACAAAAAAAAGCUGGCAAGAUGGGUCAGUGAAUGAAGACAAUUGCCGCUGAGCCUGCAAACCUGAGCAUAAGCCUCACACACGGUGGGAUGAGAGAAACGACUCCUGAAAGAUGACCUCUGUUCUCCCAUGCCUUUUGGCACAUUUGCCGCCCCAAUCAAAAAAAAUUAAAUUAAAUUAAAAUUUAAAAAACAA